rnacentral:rRNA from 1 species
UAGAGGAAGUAAAAGUCGUAACAAGGUUUCCGUAGGUGAACCUGCGGAAGGAUCAUUAUUGAAUAAACUUGAUAAGGUUGUUAGCUGGCAGGAUUUAUCUUGCAUGUGCACGCCUUGUCAUAUUUAUAUUUCCACCUGUGCACUAUCUGUAGGCAGAAAAAAAGACCUAAAAUUUUGUUGGGAAAAGCUUUUUGUUUUUCAAGAUCUUUUGCACUCGCGAGGGUUUUUGGAAUUUGGGAGCAAUUUCACUUCAUUUUUCUGUUUUUCCACUGUCUAUGCUUUUAUAUACCCCUUAAAAAUGUAAUAGAAUGUCAUUAUUGGGCCUUUGUGCCUAUAACAAAAACUAUACAACUUUCAGCAACGGAUCUCUUGGCUCUCGCAUCGAUGAAGAACGCAGCGAAAUGCGAUAAGUAAUGUGAAUUGCAGAAUUCAGUGAAUCAUCGAAUCUUUGAACGCACCUUGCGCUCCUUGGUAUUCCGAGGAGCAUGCCUGUUUGAGUGUCAUUAAAUUCUCAAUCCUUAGCAGUUUUUACAAUUGUUAAGAAUUGGAUUUGGGGGGCUUUUUUGUUGGCGCAAGUCAACUCCCCUGAAAUGCAUUAGCUGGUUGCCUUGACUUUGUCUAUUGGUGUGAUAAUUAUCAACGCCAUUGGAUGGUCAUUAACGCACKGCUUCUAACCGUCCAUUCAUUUGGACAACAAUCUUCAUUGACAACUUGACCUCAAAUCAGGUAGGACUACCCGCUGAACUUAAGCAUAUCAAUA